AGUCGUGUGCGAGACGAGACCGCAUCCGGGCGCCGCCGGCCGUCCUCCUCCUCGUCCAGGUGUCGCCGGCCGUCCUCCUCCUCGUCCAGGUGCCACCGGCCCUCCUCCUCCUCCGCCGCUCCAUCCUCGUCGCUGCCCCACCUCCCCGUUGGCUGCAACACCCCCGCCCCCCCGGAGGUCUCAAUCUACAGCCAUCCCUCUAGCUCGGUCGUCUCUACCUCGUCUUCCUCCUCAGCACCUAUCUUGCUGCUUUAAAGGACGUCAUCUCCAAGAUCCACUACAAGAUUAUCAUCUCCUAACUUUUUUGGAUCAGGUAAGCCAAAACUAGAUAGCAGGUUGUGUUGUCAGUAGUUGGGUUGGAUAAUAGCUUAGCCUGAUUUUCAUUUACUCUGGUGAUGAUGUAGAGGAUUUUGGUUGCUCUUUUUUUCCCUUCUGAUUGUUGAUGUAGAGAACCAAUUAGAUAGUGAAUCUUGUAGCAUUAACUUUGGUUUGCAAUCUAUGCUUAUUUUAGCUA